UACGUAGGGGGCAAGCGUUGUCCGGAAUCAUUGGGCGUAAAGAGCGUGUAGGCGGCUCGGUAAGUCCGCUGUGAAAGUCCAGGGCUCAACCCUGGAAUGCCGGUGGAAACUAUCGAGCUAGAGUCCGGAAGAGGCGAGUGGAAUUCCUGGUGUAGCGGUGAAAUGCGCAGAUAUCGGGAAGAACACCCGUGGCGAAGGCGGCUCUCUGGGACGGUACUGACGCUGAGACGCGAAAGCGUGGGGAGCGAACAGG
rnacentral:rRNA from 1 species